rnacentral:piRNA from 1 species
CAAGUUGACCCUGUGGGGUGACUUGUG